rnacentral:rRNA from 1 species
AGUGAAUAGAUACCCAGGUAGUCCCAGCUGUAAACGAUGCAGACUCGGUGAUGAGUUGGCUUAUUGCUAAACUCAGUGCCGCAGGGAAGCCGUUAAGUUUGCCGCCUGGGGAGUACGGUCGCAAGACUGAAACUUAAAGGAAUUGGCGGGGAGCACCACAAGGGUGGAAAGCCUGCGGUUCAAUUGGAGUCAACGCCGGAAACUCUUACCGGGGUCGGACAGCAGAGUGAAGGUCAAGCUGAAGACUUUACCAGACAAGCUGAGAGGAGGUGCAUGGCCGGUCGCCAGCUCGUGCCGUGAGGUGUCCUGUUAAGUCA